CAGUUAUUUCUCCCUGCUCCACGAUACUGCCAUUUGUAAGAAUUUAACCCAUUUAUGCCUUUAAGCCAGAGGCUGCAUUUUUUUGAAUUUCUGCAAUCAGACCUUAGUGAUGACCUGAGCAGUAGGACAGAAAUAAUUCCCACAUACUUAGCGUUCCAAUAAUGGAACAGUAGGCAUAAAUGGGUUAAUCAUAGUACUUAAGGGAUAUCUGCUAUUCAUAUCAUAUUACUAGAAAGAAAGAUUGAUUAGAGGGCCUAUCUCUCUUAUUCAUCCAUUUGGCUCCUUACAUGUGCAAGUAAAAUCCAAGUCAGUUUUGGUCAACUAGCAUUUAAAGGGCUCUUAUUUUUCCUAAAGAGUUUUUAAGUGUCUACACCAAGUACUUGAGAGUUCAACUACAUAUAUGCUUUAAAAGAUGUACACAAGUGGAAGCAAUGUCAGCCCCGAAAACUGAGUAGCCGUACUAUGCGGGGCACUGCAGUCUAGGCACUUUUUGGACAGUAUGUUUUACCUGCUGAUGAAACUCCUGCACAAGAAGAUUGAGAAGCAGAAUCUCAAACUGCGGCAACAAUUGAGAUUCUAAAGUUGCAGGGAGCCUCAAAUCUGACCCUAUCAGAAACUCAAAAUGGAAAUGUGUCUGAAGAAACAAUGAGAGGUGGAAAGUUUAAAAAAAUCAAAACAUUCUAUGAAUGUGGGCUUAUCAAAAGCUCAAAAUAAAGAUGUGUCUCAAGCAGCAGUGGAAAAUACGAAAGUUAAAAAAUCUCCCCAGAAAUCCACUAUAUUAACCAAUGGAGAAGUAGCAAUGAGGUCUCCCAAUUCAGAAUCAAAAAAGAAAAAGAAGAAAAAGAGAAAAAUGAUGAAUGAUGCUGGGCUUGAUACAAAAAAAGCAAAAAAUUGAAAACAAAGGCGAAUCUGAAGAAAGUGCUGAAACUCCUAAAGAAGUAGAAAAUAAUUCAGAGGAGCCAGAUAAUGAUGGCAGUGAAGUGCCCAGCCUGUCCCUGAGACUGACAGGAGCUUUUCAGGAUACUUCAUUUGCUUCUCUAUGUAAUCUUGUCAAUGAAAAUACUCUGGAGGCAAUAAAAGAAAUAGGUUUUACAAACAUGACUGAAAUUCAGCAUAAAAGUAUCAGACCACUUCUGGAAGUCAGGCAUCUUCUAGCAGCUACAAAAACAGGCAGUGGUAAAACCCUGGCUUUUCACAUCCCUGCAGCUGAACUCAUUGCUAAGUUAAAGUUCAUGCCCAGGAAUGGAAUGGGAGUCCUUAUCUACUAGAGAAUUAGCCAGGCAAACUUUUGGUGUUCUGACUCACCACGUGCAUACCUAUGCGUUGAUAAUAGGUGGUAGUAACAGAUCUGCUGAAGCACAGAAAUUUGCUAAUGGGAUCAACAUCAUUGUGGCCCCACCAGGCCGCUGGCUGUACUAUAUGUAGAAUACCCCAGGGUUUAUGUAUAAAACCCCGCAGUGUCUGGCUAUUAAUGAAGCUGAUCAUAUCUUGGAUGUUGGAUUUGAAGAAGAAUUAAAGCAAAUUAUUAAACUUUUGCCAACAUGUGGACAGACUACGCUCUUUUCUGCCACCCAAACUCAAAAUGUUGAAGACUUGGUGAGGAUUUCUCUGAAAAAGGAGCUAUUGUAUAUUGCUGUCGAUGAUGAUAAAGCUAAUGCAACAGUGGAAGGUCUUGAGCAAGGAUAUGUUGUUUUGUCCUUCUGAAAAGAGAUUCCUUCUGCUCUUUACAUUCCUUAAGAAGAACCAAAAGAAGCUUAUGGUCUUCUUUUCAUCUUGUAUGUCCGUGAAAUACCACUAUGAGUUGCUGAACUACACUGAUUUGCCCAUCUUGGCCAUUCAUGGAAAGCGAAAGCAAAAUAAGCCUACAGCCACAUUCUUCUAGUUCUGCAACGCAGAUUUGGGAACACUACUGUAUACAGAUGUGGCGGCAAGGACUGGACAUUCCUGAAGGUGACUGGAUGUUCAGUAUGACCCUCCAGAUGACUCUAAGGAAUGUAUUCAUCAUGUGGGUAGAACAGCUAGAGGCCUAAAUGGGAGAGGGCAUGCCUUGCUCGUUUUGCGCCCAGAAGAAUUGGGUUUUCUUUGCUACUUGAAACAAUCCAAGGUUCCAUUAAGUGAAUUGAACUUUUCUUGGUCUAAAAUUUCUGACAUUCAGUCUAAGCUUGAGAAACUGAUACAAAAAAACUACUUUCUUCGUAAAUCAGCCCAGGAAGCAUAUAAGUCGUACACAUGAGCCUAUGGUUUCAAUUCUCGGAAAUGGAUAUUUACUGUUAGUAACUUACAUUUGCCUCAAGUUGCUCUGUCAUUUGGUUUCAAGGUGCCUCAUUUUGCUGAUCUGAACAUCAACAGCAAUGAAGGCAAGCAAAAAAAGCGGGGAGGCAGUGGUAGAUUUAGCUACCAAAAAAACCAAAAAAGUUGAGAAGUCCAAAAUCUUUAAAUACAUUAGGAAGAAAUCAUCCCAUAGCAGGCAGUUCUCUCACUGAAGACAUGCCUUUAAUCUUGAAUAACUUUGUCCUAAAAUGAAUUUUUUCCCCCUUGAUUUAACAGGAUUUUUGCAGCCUUUAGAAUUUAAACUUAUCUAACAAGAGUAUAAAUUGACUUGGGUUGCAAGCACUGAGCAUUGUUACUUCUAUCAGCUCUCUUGUUUAUUUCUGGAAUAUAAAACAGGCUUUAAUUGUCUUGGUUGCCCAAGGGCAGAGCAAGGAAUAUCUGGUCUUUCUUGUGAUUAUGCAAUAUUUUAAUUUUAAAUAGUCCUCCCCCAUACACACAAAUGUAUGUUACUGUUUUAAUAUAAUUCUUUUUGUACCU